AGAGGGCGGUAACCUUCCGCGAGGAGCUCUCUUUGCCGCAAGUGUCGCCGCUUUGCCGCUCUUGUGCUUUGUUUCGUCUGACGUUACCCGUACAAGGAAAAGUAGCUCACAAGUCAGGCAUUAAGCUUUGUUACUAGAUUAAAGGUGUCGCCAUCGUAGCCCAUUUCAGCCAGCGUCUGCCGUGCAGCAACGGAUGCCUCAGAAACCGGACUGAGCGCCGAGGCUGAGCUUCUCGUGCGAGCGCCCCGUGCCCGUCACUCACUCUGAGCGCGUGACUCCACUUUCAGUCUAAAUUUAAUAAAAGUCGAUUUGUAAUACUUGUCUCACAUUAUAAAUUAUGUGUAGAAUGGUGUUAAAACCUUUUUUUUUUUUAACACCUUAAAAACAUUGCCAGACUGUUCCACAUGUUCUCUUCCUGUUGCCCAAAAAGCUUAACACAGUCGUCUUUUUUUAGUGAAUUGACUGUAAUGUCCUCCAUUGCGGAGCCGUCCGAUAUACCUGACGCUCCAGCACGUUCACGUUUCAGCAGCUCGAACGCUGACCGAGCGCAAUGGUAGUGACCGCAUCGCACCUGUGUUAGAAUCCCAGCCCUGGCUUCCCGUAAGAUUUCCAGUUGACUUCAAAAUCCUCCUGCUUUCCCGUAAAGCUCUACAUGGCCAGACUGUUGACUCGUCUCUACCUCUCUGUCCUAAGUCCAACGGUCUCUUCUCCAUCUCGUAGUCUUCUUUUGUCUGACUAGUCUUCUACCUGUUCCUCAUGUUCACCUGUAUCCUCCUGUUUCUCCUCCAAACCGUGGAAUUCCUUCACUAAAAAUAUCCGGGCCUGUCCUACUCCGGACAGCAUUAAGUCCGGGAUCAAAAACUACAUGUUCAGAAUAACCCAAGAACAUUGCUUUCUUCUUUCUCUUUACAGUUGUUUUCUUUAUCAUCAUAAUCCUUAUAACACCCAAUGCUUUAAGGAUCAAAGUCCAGACCACUGCCACCCUGAGAAGCCACUGGAAACUGUCCAAGAUGGAGAACCCAUUGCAGAACAAGCUCAUCUACCUGUGGAGCACACUGCCAGAACUAUUGAUGGUGUUUCAGAGCUCCAGCCCAGUGUCGGUAUUUCUGGCCUAAACCUCAGACGCCAGCCUAAGGCCGCUGAAGAAGGCCGGACUGCUCUUGAUGGCGACGGGGGCAAUUCCUACCCGUUGUCACGCGGCGCAAAUGCCGGAACCCCCGCUGCAGCGUUGGACCUUCGCGAUCCGCCGACAGCGGGUGUAAGGUCAGUCAGUCUGCACAACUGUUGUGGAAGGCGGCCCCGGGAAUGA
ensembl:lncRNA uncharacterized LOC108940998